rnacentral:rRNA from 1 species
UACGAAGGGGGCUAGCGUUGUUCGGAAUUACUGGGCGUAAAGGGCGCGUAGGCGGCCUUGUUCAGUCAGAUGUGAAAGCCCCGGGCUCAACCUGGGAACGGCAUUUGAUACUGCAAGGCUUGAGUUCCGGAGAGGAUGGUGGAAUUCCCAGUGUAGAGGUGAAAUUCGUAGAUAUUGGGAAGAACACCGGUGGCGAAGGCGGCCAUCUGGACGGACACUGACGCUGAGGCGCGAAAGCGUGGGGAGCAAACAGG